GUCGAGAUUGCCGAGCGGUCUAAAGGCUUUUUCUCAGAUUUAAGCUCUGGUUCUUGAAAGAGAGCGUGGGUUCGAACCCCACUCUUGACA